UUAUUUGUAUUCUUAGUGUUAUUUCAUUCAAGUUAUGUCUUCAUGGUGAUUUCAUUUGGGAUCUAUUGAAAUUUCAUUUAAAAGUGGUGAAGGUCUCACUACAAGUGGGUCACUUGAAUUUUCUGUUCUCUUUAUUAUUUUUUUUAGUUCAAUUUCCCUUUCUGAAUCAAAUGAAAGCUUAAUAAGUUCAUUUUAGUCAAACAGAGUUGCUGUGACAAUUUACAUUGUACUAGAACAACUUGUGUGCAUUUUCAAUAGUCAAACCACACAUUUUGAG
rnacentral:lncRNA from 1 species